rnacentral:rRNA from 1 species
UCAAUAGCCAAUAGCACGUUAAAAGCAGCAGAUCCCAAUGGAUCUCUGAAGUUAAGUAACGUUCCGCGUGGUUAUUAGG